CCAUAUCUCGUUGAAACACCGGUUCUCGUACGACCACUGAAAGUUAAGCAACGUAGCGCCUGGUCAAUACCUAGAAGGGUGCCCGCUUGGGAAUACCGGGUGCUGUAAG